CUAUGUGUUUUCUUGGUUUUGUUGUGCUUAAUCCAGAUUUUGGUCAGAGGCGGAUUUUGUCAAAGAAAUCAUCGAGGAGCUGAAGAGGGUACGGAGCAGAAUCCCACUAGAAGAAAGGAAAGAUCACAUUCCCGAUCUUUCAUCAAGAAAAAUAGGGCAUCUUAUGAGCGGUCCCUGUGAACUUCCCUACUGCGAAUCGAGCAAAACCAGAAACGUUUAAUGAAGAUGAAUUCAGAAGGAGCAUCAAAUAAAUGUCCAACAAAUGUAUAGGCGGAUGACAGUGGUUGGAAUGGAGAUACGUUGACAAGUUUUAUCAUAGCUUGUGGGUGCUUGAUGUGCUUAAACAAAGAACAUCAAAAAAAAAAAUUGGAGAUAUUUUUUCAAUAAGUUUGAAAAAGAGUGGCAUGGAUUGGUGACCGAAAUUCAUAAGACUCCUCCCAUGAUUCGGUACUGCUUGGUCUAUGGGUUGUUCUACUAAGUGAGUCUUACUUUGAGAUUUGAUUGUUUUUGUCUUUUAGACAAUUUUCUGAUGCAGCGCAUCCCUCCCUGUGGGCUUCAGAAUUAUUGUCUCUGUACGUGUGAUGAGCAUUUUAAAGAAGAUAAAUUGGAAAUA